UGAAAGGCUAAAGUGUAGCAAAUCCACAACGCCCGAGGCCUCAUCAAGCAAGAGGCUUUAUUAACCCCAACCAAAAAACAAUGAAUUCCAGCAAAUUUGCCCCAGAUUACGAUGUAGAACACAUUUCAAGGCUAGGGAAGCUUCUAGUGACCUCCAUUUGAAGUUUAGGUGGAGAACGGGGAGUUGUCAACAGGCACCUAGUGGAGGGAUGGUGAAAGUAUGGGGGGGUAGGGAUUGCAGGCACAUGCUUCUGGAAAUGUGGUGGCUGGUGACUUAGUUCCAACAAAGGCAUCGACAAUGCUCAAUUGCUCACCUCAUUUACUCCAGACAACAACAAUAGCAAUGGCCUUAUCCUACUAGGUGAAACCAGUUACAUGGAUCACACAACUCCUCAAUUAGGCUAGGUUAAAGCAGAAGCAAUGAUUCCUUCAUCCCUGACAAUUAAAAACUGCAAGGAUUGUUUCUAACCUCCAGCACAACACCCCAUUUAUGUUUGAUAACUGUGUCACAAAAUAGAUCUGAUAGUGAGUGAGAUAAAACACAAGCCUGAGAGCAUUAAGCAAUUUUCUGCUGGGGAAAAAACUUGUGGACAGAUGGAUAGGUUCAACUUGCAUCAGAUCUGACAAAGAAACAACAACUGUGGAUCUUGGAGCUCCUAUCAGAAAUGGGCACAGCUAGAAGUAUUAUGUGACGGACUAUUUCUACAAAGCAUUGGGUGUGGAGGGCCAUCUUAUACAGCUCUAGCUGUACCCUAAUAGCUUAUUUAUCAUAUUGAUUGACAAACUGUCUAUUGUAGUUUCUGCACAAGCCAAGAAAUGCAAAAUGAAAAUGGAAACAGACAGCUUGCAACA